CGUCGACUUUCGCGGAUGUGCAACGUCUUCGGCUGCCAGUAAUUUUAGACGCCAGAGAGUCGGCCGUCGCGACCAAGUUCUUCGUCUCGGAAAGUCGCCCGGUAGAAGUGACACCACGCGCAAGCAGCUAAUGCCGCGAAGGGAAGUUGGACGUUCAACUUGCGUGAGGAUCCACGAGCGUCUCCGCAGACUGUUAGGCAGUGGAGCGAGAUGUGUUGUAACGUGUCGACAAGCUAGGUGACAAGUUUUCUAAUCUCCGCUAUCCGGAUUGAUAUCCCGAUGACGCAAAAUCCGUUAUAUAAAUUUUUCAUAAAAAAUGUUAUAAAAUAAAUCAUGCUUGAGAAGUCCAUUAACUGUCAAGUGAUGUAAGUUUAUUUUGGCAUUUCUAAUAAAAUGUAAAAGUUUCUUGGAA